rnacentral:lncRNA from 1 species
AGAAAACGGUGAUGGAAGGCGUAUGGUGGUCGGUGGAGUUAACGGUGAGCAUUGAUUUGGUGUGUGGCGGCGGCUCACGAUGAAGGUUGGAAGUUGUUGGAGGAAGGGUCGACGUGGAAACGGUUGUGAGUGUGUGCGCCAGAGGGUGAUGAAGCGAGAGUUCAGGUGGUGAGAAAAGUGGGUUUUUAUUAUUUUCUUUUUGUUAAUGUCCAGAGAGGGAGUCUGAGGAGAGAGGUAUCGUUGUAUACCUUUUUUUCUCCUUUU